CCCCCGAGAUAACAUGACCAGAUUUUGGAGAUGGGCUGUAAAACUCCCGACAGAGCAAACAGACAAACUAAAAUAAGAUAAAGUCCAAGCUCAGGAAGACUGGACCAAUCAAGGAUGGACCCGUACUAACCCCCUCCUCUCUGAAGAAUUUUGUGGUUUUUGCCUUCAAAAGCUAACCUCCCCAAGAAAGUAUUGCGCCGAGAAGUGAACCUUGCUAUUGCAUUCUGGACAUCUUUGGUCUACAGUGGUCUCUUUGGGGGUCCUAAUCUGGGCAGAACAACCAGAAUUCUCGGCAAGCCUGUGUGUGCUACAUGGUGACAGCCCUUCUGUUACUUAACUGCAAGGAGACGGAACUUGCCUGCAAUGAGAUCAUCCACCGUGUCUCUGAAAUCCUGCAGGUUGAAAUCUUCUUCGGUUUGCAAGGAGUGGUUCUAAAAUAAACCAACGGUGUGAGCCAGAGAACAAUUCUAGACAGACAGACAUCCUCGAAGCUCCUAAGGCUAGUCUGUAUGCACUCUGGUUCACAAGCAGAAAUUUUAAGCUUCAUCUCACCCAUCGAACGUUUCUCUAAAAGUUGGAGUUGGCUUUUCACCUGUGGUGGAAUACACCUUCAUGUUGCCUGGCCAGUGUUCCCAGGUGCCUGAGAGAGAAGGAAAUGGAAAAAAGGUGGGGGUCCAGGCAUCUUCCUAGUCUCUUAAGGGAUGGACAUUUCAAGUCGAUGACAUUUUUCUAUUUAUGUAAUCUCUUAGUUAAUCCUCCCCCCAGUAUGGAAAGUAGGCAAGGUCCACAGGAUGCUUCUUCCUCUUGAGAGAGAAUCCUGCAGAAGAUGAACUGCCCGAUGCCUGUAUCAUUCCUCUCUCCUGGCUGUUUCAUUGUCUGUCUUUUUAGGAAUCCCUGGCUUGCUUGGAGGCCAGUGUUAGAAAGGAAUCUCUAGGACCAUGGUAUGAAGGGAUCCAUCCCAGAUGCCCACCAGAAAUGUCUACUGAUUCCACUAUUGAUUCUUAUCUUUGUAUUAAUCAUUUUCUUCUUCCUAAAGCCCCUCUUUCCAAGUCAUAUAUUUUGGGGACUCAAAACUUACUCUGACUCUAACCUUUUUUUCUGGCCCUGUUUUCAAAGUACCAGAUUCCCUCAUGGAAAAAAGGAGAGAUGUCCUCGGUAGCUGUUGGACGUUGAGGACUCUGGGUCAGGUGACAGAGCCCUAGGCUUGUCUUCUUUAUUUGAGCAUUAGAUCUAAAAAGAAUUAAGCAGCCUCUGCAGAGUAGUGGUCACUCCCUUAAGGUCACUUAACCUUGCCUUAAGAUACUGCUUCUGGGCACCACCCCUACCCUAAGGUUGUAAGUGGCUAGUAAAGGUGUCCUUAGGAAUGUUGCUUAGCUUCUUCAUGGUGGUUAUGAAUUUUGCAGAGUUCUGUAACGGGCCUGUUCCCAUGGACCUGUGGUCCCAGCAUCUGCUGUUAGGAAAUUGGAUGUAGUCCUCUUCCUGUGGGUUUCAUCUGGAUAAGACCACCUGUCCUUCCGGACACUUCAUGUGCCACCAAAGAAGAAUCAAGACCCAGGCCUCUGAGGUCCUGGAGCUGAGGAGGCUCCAUUCUCUGGCUGGGAUGUGUCAGCGAUGGCAGGAGGAGAGAAUGGGAUGAAGUAGGAAGGUUUAGAGGAAAACGGGGAAAAGUUUCUCUCCUCCAAGAUGACAAAGGACUAGCAUGUUGGGAGGAACAGAAUAAAACUUUUAAAGCGGCCAGCUGCCGAACGUCCAUCUCUGCAGACAGAACGUUUUCCUCCAGCUUGUUUACAGAGUCCCUUGUCCUCUCCCCCAGUGACUUCGAUACUCCGUUGGUACCCACGAAAUAGAAAUGGUUCCUGAGGGGUCAGAAGUGGGUGGCAAACAAAACAGUUAUUCUCUGCGCGUGUGCCCCAAUCACGUGGUUCCUCACCCUACCAGCUCCGAACUGCCUUGUUCAGAUGAAUGACAAAGGGACCCUGCAGUAAAAGUUGGCCACACCGGCUCCGAAAAUGAGAACUUAAUAACAUACUAGGAGGAAGGAGAAAAUUGGGAUCUGGGAUGCUUGGCUUCCCUCGAUAUGCCGAAUGUGCCUCUGCUCCCAGUCCAUCUUGAGACCUUUGAGGCAAUAAACCCACCAAGUUCGCAGUUGGUUCUGUAGGUGGCCAAGCUCCAAGCAAGGGAAAGAGUACCUGCGAGGCGGAGGAAUCACCACUAGGAGACGCUUCGGAGCCGAGUAGCGAGGUGCAGUCUGCGAGGUCCUGCAGGUCUAUGGUGGUGAGGGCUGCGCGGGGAGAUCGGGAGACAAGCAUCCAGCGUACCCUAAGCCUCUCUGCCAGGUCGCCGCCAGGACCCUCAAC